UCCUCACUCUCCUCUUCAGCUUGGUAGAUGGGAUUAUCAAAAUCAUACUGAGCCAUAACAGGAUUGUUCAUAGUGGAUUCCGUGAUAUCACUUCUGCAUGUUUAAUGCUUUAUUUUAGAAAAAGAAUUCAAGAAAGUCACAAAAAACAAAAACAUUGCCAUUUUUAUUGUUUUGAAAAAACAAAAACAAAAAUAGAAAGACAGGGAUCACAAAAUUUGAUUGCAAAACGUCCUUUAUUAAUGAUAAUCAUUAAAACAUGAUGAGGCCCUACAAUGAACCACUACGCCUUGGGCAGGACGUAGGGUUU
rnacentral:lncRNA from 1 species